rnacentral:snRNA from 1 species
AGCUUUGCUCAGUGGCAGUAUCAUAGCCAAUGAGGUUUAUCCGAGGCGCGAUUAUUGCUAAUUGAAAGAAAAAAUGGAGAGAAUUUGAUCAGACUGGAGACUGGAAUAUAGCCCUGUGCUAGAUUAGGGUGUAACUUGAUCUAUUAGAAGUUGUAUCCCAAAUUUAUUUAGAAGAAUAUACCCU